UACGUAGGGUGCAAGCGUUGUCCGGAAUUAUUGGGCGUAAAGAGUUCGUAGGCGGCUUGGUAAGUCCGUUCUGAAAGCCCGGGGCUCAACCCCGGGAGGCGGAUGGAUACUGCCAAGCUCGAGUCCGGAAGAGGCAAGUGGAAUUCCCGGUGUAGCGGUGAAAUGCGCAGAUAUCAGGAGGAACACCGAUGGCGAAGGCAGGUCACUGGCCGCAACUGACGCUGAGGAGCGAAAGCAUGGGGAGCGAACAGG
rnacentral:rRNA from 1 species